CAGAGGAUAGUUUAAGUAAAAUACUAGUUUUGGAGAUUAGUGAUAAAAGUUAAUUUUUCCUCUGA
rnacentral:tRNA from 2 species